CUGAACUAACCAGACAAGUUUAUCCAGAGCUGGACACGACCCUUUGGGGGCCAUGCAGCUUUAUUAUUAUUAUUACCAUUAUUAUUAUUAUUAUUACUAUUUUGUAGAAAUAGGUCCUCACUAUGCUGCCUAGGCCAGUCUCCAACUCCUGAGCUAAAGUGAGCCUCACUCCUUGGCCUCCCAAAGUGCUGGAUUGACAGGCAGGAACCACUGUGCCCAGCCCCCACACACAUUUUUUAGUCAUCACUGUUGGGGUUUGGUCCUGGGUGUGUUGCUGGGCCUGACGGGAAGUUCCUCAACAGGUUCCUGAUGUGAAACCCCGUGUUUCUCCCCUGAAAGGGGGCAUCCAGUUUCUGUGUUGCUCUAAUCUCUGAGACAGACCUCUGCGUUUCUUCCCUUCUGCUAUCACCUUGUUGAAGAGGGUCCUGCUCUGAGGGCUGCCAGAGGUGCCUGGGCCUGCGGAGAUGCUUUUUCUUGGAAGCAAAGGCUGUGUGCAGCCAUUCUGGCCACCGUCCCUGGUAGGAGUCCUCCCCAUGCUUCUGGGAGCCGGGGCCACUGCUUGCCUCUGACUGAACACGCACUGGCAGAGGCCUAGAAUGAUGAGCUCUUACAGUGUGACUGCAGUCCGGGUCCAGCCAGGGAAAAGCUUCAUCCUAAUUAUGACUGUGGGACUCAGGCAUGUCUGUUGUUAGGUGGAGGCUUGAUCGACAGGCUCAGCCGCCCUGGUGUUCUGACUCUUGUUCCACUCACUGCACAAAAUGAAGCUGGCGGAAUAUUGCUACAAAAGAAUGAUCGUGGCAGGAGGCGGGGUAGAGCAAUGUCAGGUCACGGUGCGUCUUGCACCGAAAUAUUAAGGCAGUUGUAAUGAUCUUUGUCUCACAGAAAUGAACAGAGUGAUGAAGGAGGCUCAGAGAAAGGCAGCUGAGAAGAGCAACAAGGUAGAAAGGCUGACUUAAAGUAGAGAAAUAAAAAUUCAUCCAGCACCUCCCAAGGUCGGACAUUGGUCAAGACACGCCCAAAUAGUUCAGGUCAUUUAACUUUGCUCAAAUUCCUCAAGGCAGUUAUCACGACUCCUCCUGCUUUAGAGGUGAGAAUGCCAAGGCUCCUGAGGGCUGAGUAAGGAGCCCUGGUUUGUUUGAGUGCAGGUAACACAACAGGUGUUAAAGCCCAAUCUUCAGGGUCUUAAUCCAACAGAAGUUAACUUUCGCUUAACUUCCCAUCCUGUCCGCAUAAAAGGGCUUCAAGUCCUCAGAAGGUUCUGGAUUCAGCCUGCAUGGAACAAAGGGCCCCUCUGCUCAUUUCCAUUGCUGAGCCUGACAGGAGAGGCUGGGAUCGGAGUUCACCUUGAACCUAGGGUGGAAGGGAAGUGCAUUUUGUGAACACAUAGCACCCAGGCCAGGCACCCAAAGCCACACAGCUGCAACAGCAGCCUACAGUCCGACGCGGGUCAGGCAACGGAGUCCAAGCUCACGUGUUCUCUGACUUGAGUUUUCUGAACCUCAGAGUCCUCUCCUAUAGAAUGGAGAAAACGUCUCCUUCACAGGAUUGCUGCGAGG
rnacentral:lncRNA from 1 species